rnacentral:rRNA from 1 species
GACAUAGGUUGCGAACGUUAUCCGGAAUUAUUGGGCGUAAAGGAUGCGUAGAUGGUUUGAUAAGUUAUCAGUGGCAAAUCGGGGCUCAACCUCGUGGAAGCUGGUAAUACUGUCAUACUCGAGUGCAGGAGAAGUUAACGGAACUCUAUAUGGAGCGGUAAAAUGUGACGAUAUAUAGAAGAACACCAAUAAGGCGAAGGCAGUUAACGAUUCUGUUACUGACAUUGAGGCAUGAAAGCGUGGGGAGCAAAACGG